UUGCAAUGAUGAAACUUCAGUUUAUUGAUGACAUUAGUGUUUGAUGAUACUUCGGCAUUCAUGUCGAACCUGAGCGGUUAACUGAGCAA
rfam:Cicer arietinum chromosome Ca2, whole genome shotgun sequence.